GUUGUUUAGGAAUUGUGCUUUUGUUUGAAGUUUGUGUUAGAUUGGUGGAUUUUGAGUGUUGUGAUGUCUUGCUGUGAUCAGGCUCAAAUCAAGUUGUUUAUGUGCAUUCUGGUAUGCUGGUGCUUGGUUAAGCUUAGUUUGUUGAGUUGAGGCAUGUUUUAUGUGUGUUUGUUGUCAAAGUCAAAUCUUGAGUUGGAUGGUUGAAAAAGCUUUUUAGUGGACAUUUGAUUUAGAAUUCUAGCACUCAAUUUAACUCUCUAUUGAUUUGAACAAGUUUUUAUAGUGGAAACACUUUGAUCUGGGCUGAAUUGAGUGUUUAGAAAUGUCUAAAAUCAAAAGUCAAAGUUGAGUUGGACCCUUUUUCUGUGCUGCAGAAUUCUGCAGCAAAUCUGCAUAAUUUGCGCUGGGCGCCACUUAUCUCACGCCCAACGUCACUUCUCACUGCCUCAAUAUGAAAUGUUGCACUUACCUCACGCCCAGCGCCACUAUUAUCGCGCCCAGCGCGAAGCUGCAGACUUUGAGUCUGACUUGGGCCGAUCUGCAUAUUUGGCCCAUUUGUCCCACUAGACUCAUUUUGACUCUCUGACCCCCUUUCUCCCACAAUCUCCUCACACUCACGUCAUUACUCUCAUCUUCCAAUACCACACAUUCUUCAUUUCAAAACUCUAACCCCAUUUUAAACAACCACUCACGCACUACCCACUACCAUCAACAGCACACUCACUUUCUUUGCCUUCCACUGCCACCUUCCUCUAAUACUCCUCAUUCCCACUCACGCACUACCCUAACUUUUUCACUCACAUUUCUUCCCCCAAAUCCGACACCAUCAUCACCAGUGGAGGCUGCUGCUGUCACCCCCCCAACGGCCCAAACCCAAGCAUUAUAACCACCACCCAUUCUCAGUUUCUCCACUGCCCACCAAGUGUUCGGUGCAUUGCCAAGCUUAGAGGCCACAAUUUUGCCACUGCAUUCUCACUUGUCCAAGUCCUCAAUUUCACAUUUCAACCCUCUCCAAUUCAAGUAGGCCAUGACACCUUUCUCCUUUUCAAACUUUAAUUUGUGAUAUGCUUGGUUGUGAUUUGUGUGAAAUUGGGUGGAGAAUUUUCUUGAUUUGCCUAUGCUUGAUUGUUUGUGAUUGCUUGAACCUUGGCAUACAAAACAUCCAUGCACAUUUGCCUCACCCAUUGAGUUAAGAGUAAGCCAUCACUGCAUAUGCAAAAUUUUUCUGCAUAAUGUUUCUGCACACUUCACGCUGGGCGCAACCAUACUGGCGCCAGGCGCCACUAUCCCUGCACCAGAAUUGAAAAAAUGGGGAUUUCCAGCAAGUUUUCAUGCCCAGCGUGACCUUUCUGGCACCCAGCAUCACUUCUCUGCACCCACCUUUUUCAAUUUUUUUGUGUUCUUACCCUCUUUUCUUCUUUCCUUUGGUUCCCACACAUUAUUGUGAUCCAAUUUGCCUGUUGUGUGCUUCUGAUUGAAUGCUUAUGGUUAUCUCUUUUGCAUGCUAACAUGUCCAACCAUUUGCUUCCAUUUGUUU
rnacentral:lncRNA from 1 species